rnacentral:rRNA from 1 species
CCUACGGGAGGCUGCAGUGGGGAAUAUUGGACAAUGGGGGCAACCCUGAUCCAGCCAUGCCGCGUGUGUGAAGAAGGCCCUCGGGUUGUAAAGCACUUUCAGUGAGGAAGAACGCCUGGUGGUUAAUACCCAUCAGGAAAGACAUCACUCACAGAAGAAGCACCGGCUACCUCCGUGCCAGCAGCCGCGGUAAUACGGAGGGUGCGAGCGUUAAUCGGAAUUACUGGGCGUAAAGCGCGCGUAGGUGGCUUGAUAAGCCGGUUGUGAAAGCCCCGGGCUCAACCUGGGAACGGCAUCCGGAACUGUCCAGCUAGAGUGCCGGAGAGGAAGGUAGAAUUCCCGGUGUAGCGGUGAAAUGCGUAGAGAUCGGGAGGAAUACCAGUGGCGAAGGCGGCCUUCUGGACUGACACUGACACUGAGGUGCGAAAGCGUGGGUAGCAAACAGGAUUAGAUACCCGGGUAGUC